rnacentral:lncRNA from 1 species
CAAGUUGGUCAUUAACGAUAUUGCAUUAUUUCCCUGAGGUUUUUGAACUGUAAACGUAUUGCAACUCUGAUAUGGUUAAUAUUAAUUUUGUGUUUGCAUCUGUAAUUGGGUAUACGCUUAGUUGCCCAGUUGAUGUUAUAUUUUCGCUUAGUUAAUAAAACUGUAUGGUGUAAAUUAAAAUUGAAAAUUAACAUUGCGUUCGCUUAGUCCGCAGUUGUGAAGACUGAUUUAACCGCCGCUUAGUCGGUUAAUUCUGUCGGAUCAGAGAUCUGGGUAACAACUGUAAUUUAAUAAUCAGUGAGGGGAAAUAUUGCGAUUGAGUUAAUGACUGACUGUUUUUAUUCAGUGUCAAUCCAGUAAAUUUUUAGUGUAUUGUUCGCGCUUCUGUCAUUAAAUUUCUGUG